AUUGAACGCUGGCGGCAUGCUUUACACAUGCAAGUCGAACGGUAACAGGUUAAGCUGACGAGUGGCGAACGGGUGAGUAAUGCAUCGGAACGUGCCCGAUCGUGGGGGAUAACGCAGCGAAAGCUGCGCUAAUACCGCAUACGAUCUGAGGAUGAAAGCGGGGGACCGUAAGGCCUCGCGCGAUCGGAGCGGCCGAUGUCAGAUUAGGGAGUUGGUGGGGUAAAGGCCCACCAAGCCGACGAUCUGUAGCUGGUCUGAGAGGACGACCAGCCACACUGGGACUGAGACACGGCCCAGACUCCUACGGGAGGCGGCAGUGGGGAAUUUUGGACAAUGGGCGAAAGCCUGAUCCAGCAAUGCCGCGUGCAGGAAGAAGGCCUUCGGGUUGUAAACUGCUUUUGUACGGAGCGAAAAGGUCCUUUCUAAUACAAGGGGCUCAUGACGGUACCGUAAGAAUAAGCACCGGCUAACUACGUGCCAGCCGCCGCAGUAA
rnacentral:rRNA from 1 species